rnacentral:tRNA from 1 species
UGUUCACCUGGCAGGCGGCGGUGAUUGCUGCAGCGGUCGCCUCGUUGCCGCUGGUGUUCAAGCCGGCGCGCGCGGCGUUCGAGGACGUGGACGGGCAGC